ensembl:snRNA U6 U6 spliceosomal RNA
GUACUCACUUCAACAGCACAUACACUAAAAUUGGAACGAUACAGAGAAGAUUAGCCUGGCCCCUGAUCAAGGAUGACAUGCACAUUUGUGAAGCAUUACAUAUUUUU